GUACUUGCUGUGGCAGCACAUAUACUAAUAUUGGAAGAGUACAGAGAUGACUAGCAUGAAUACUGUACAAAGAUUAUACAAAAUUUUAUAAAGAGGUUCACAUUUUC